ACCUUCCGCCACGAUUCUCAGGCCUCCCCAGCCAUGUGGAACUGUAAGUCUAAUUAAGCCUCUUUUUCUUCCCAGUCUCUGGUAUGCUUUUAUCAGCAGCAUGAAAACGAAUUAAUGCACUUGGUAACAUGCCAAUUACUUGACCAAGGGAAGGUGAGGCACCUUGCUUUAAAAGUGAAUGCCAAAGAGAAUAGCAGCUCCUCAGUGAAAUAAUGAAGCUGUGUUAGCUGAUGGGAGAAAAGGUUGCUGAGGAGACCACAGGAACAGAUGUCUGCAGAAGUGUUUCUGUUUCUUGUCAUCAGCCUCAUUGCUGUAAUGGCUCCCCAAGGCUGCCAGAGUUUACAUUUAUUUAAAUAGAAUCAACAUGUUUCUGUUUCAUAGCAUCUUUGGUAAAAUUAUACUAUGUAAAAUGAGGAUUACAGUCUUCUCACCAAAAGUAAGAUCUCUGCCUUGUCU
rnacentral:lncRNA from 1 species